GACGAACGCUGGCGGCGUGCUUAACACAUGCAAGUCGAACGGAAAGGCCCUGCUUUUGUGGGUUGCUCGUGUGGCGAACGGGUGUGUAACACGUGAGUAACCUGCCCUUGUCUUUGGGAUAACUUCAGGAAACUGGGGCUAAUACCGGAUAGGAGCUCCUGCUGCAUGUUGGUGGUUGGAAAGUUUCGGCUGUUGUGGAUCGACUCGCUGCUUAUCAGCUUGUUGGUGGGGUAGUGGCUGACGAAGGCUUUGACGGGUAGCCGGCCUGAGAGGGUGACCGGGCACAUGGGGACUAAGAGAGGGACCAGAAGGCAACGGGAGGCAACGGGGGGGAGUAUGACAGAGUGGGGGGAAGCCAGAGGCAGCAACGCCGCGUGCGGGAUGACGGGCUUCGGGUUGUAAACAGAUGUCGCAUGAGACAAAGCGGGAGUGACGGUAAUGGGUAAAGAAGCACCGGCUAACUACGUG
rnacentral:rRNA from 1 species